ACACUGUAUUAUUAUCGAGAUCUAGCAGAACUUAAUUAAAAAUAAUACUCCUCUAAAUAUUCUUAAAACUCCCUUUAUUACACAGGUGUAUAACUAAAUAACCGAUAUUGAAAAAAAAAAAUAAGUGUGUAACACCAUACAACACAAGGGAAGUCUCGAAACAUAGGUUAUGCGUACUUGCACGAGUGUAUUGUUUAGUUUUGCUUUAUUGCAGAAUGCGAACAGGUCUGUUCUUGUCGUUUAAAGUGCUAUAAUUGGUCAUUUUUAUCGUUUGUUAUAUCAUCGAGGAUACGUUAAGCGCAAUGAAAAGGCGAGAUAUUUUUAAUAUAUGGUUUCCAAGUAAUAAAAAAAAGGUCAAAAUAACCUUAUAAUUGAAAAAAUACUACAAUAUUAUGACAUAGAGGACUGUAGAAACCCUCCACGAUCACUUCAAAUGUUAAUAAGUAGUCUUACAGCAAAAAUACAAUCUAAAUGGGAGAAAUGUAAGCGAAAAUAACAGGGAUCAAUCUGGAUUUAGUCAAACAUUUCUGUUAUCUUGGAGGCACAAGACAUAUGCCGAAGAGACAAGAAAACUUUAUUUAGUACAUUGUUCCUGGUACUACAUGCCUUCUAGUAGGUAUACACAAAAUCCUCUCACACUCAAUAGAAGUAAUUGAAACAUGCGUUUUACCUUUGGACCAAUUAGCAGAAGAAGCUCAAGAAGCGAACAAUAAGGAAUAUAGGAGGAAUCGCGAGUAUUUCAGCAGGAAAACAAGCAGAAUUAACACCAAUCGAGACGUACUUAACCGAUUUCUGAUAGGUUCAGAUCCACUUCUAUCUUCCAAAUCAACAGUGCAAAAUAGAACAUGGGAGAAGAAACUUACUCGACGGAGGAAGAUGGGUAGAAGGUUAUGCGAAUUUUUUUUAGUCUUUUGAAUAUAUUUAGGGGUGUAAAAUAUAUUUCUUGUGUAUUUAGAACAAAGUUGCAGUAUUAAAAAUAAUAUUUUUAAAGAAAAUAAAGA